UAUAAUUAGUAAUAAUUCAACAUCUGCCGAACUUUCCACAGGACCAUCUGCUGUAGAACCAUCAUCCACCAGAGACUAUCGGAUAUUUGCAAAAGCUUCCGCAUCAAAAAAAAAUUGAUUCUACUCUGCCGGAGCAGAUGUCAGCACCAGAAAGCAUGUCUUAAAAACCAAGAACUGAAAAGACCAGUAAAGGUACCUUGCA